GGUGUUUACACAGAGAGGUGGCGAGCUCCUUAAUCGAGGGUCAGCUUUGCCAGAACAUGGUCCCGCGUGUGGCCUCCGGGCCAGGAGAUGUACAGUAAAGAGAACAGAAGAUUUGCUCCAAGCCCCCCCCACCCCACGCUCAAGCGGAGCCCUCCUAGGUCCAGCAUGCUCUUCCCAGAAGACCCCUGCGUGGACGAGUCUGAAAGCCCCAGGGAAAGCACAAAACUUUCCCAAAAAAGCCAACUGCCCUUGAGCUGGAAAAGGCACGCUUGACCUUGGGCUCCCUCACUCCACUGGUAGCGGCGUGACUCUACCUCUCUGUGCCUCGGUUUUCUCCUCCGGUAAGCGGAAUCCACGCCGUGUACGGCUUAGUCCCUGGUAGGCACUGAGGCCCAUGCCUGCUCCUGGCGCCCGCCUGGCAAAUGGUGUUCCGUAGCGGCUGGCUCCACUCCCCACACCCCCAGGCUCGGGGUCAGACUCUGAAUGAGUGCUUUGCCUCGGUGGGCUUCGUUUUGUGCUAGAAACUAUUGAGGCAUGGCUCCCUGUUCUUCAGGUAUGCGCUGAAAGCACGUGCGAGGUGGGAGUUUGGGUUAGCAUCCCUUCUCUGCUGCCUCCUUACUUGAAUUUGCCUCAGUCUCCCCAUCUGUAAAUCGGGUCUAAAAACGCCACCUCCCUUCUAGGGUCCUAGAGGAGCUUGGAUAAGAUCAUGCAAGUGAUGGACUUAUCACAGUGCCCCGUGUCUGGCAGGUGUUCACAGCAUGGUGCACAUUAGGUAUGAGAUGUUAUACCUACGGAGGUACACGUGCAUAGUAUUAGCACAGCAAAGCGUGGCCGCGGAUCCAUUAAUAGCUCAGAGGAUGAAUUCACAUUCAGCAAACCAACGUUGUUGACCGGGCACUUACUGUAUACCAGGUACUGGCUGAGCGGACUCCCAGGGGCCCUAAAGCAGGAACCCAGCCCACCCUUCUGUGAACCCUGCCCGGGGCCUGGUAAGCUGAGAGCCCUUUGUGAGGCAGGCAGGGAGCCACAGGGGGAGCAGAAUGCCAGGGGGAGGGAGGUGGGGUCAGUGCAGCUUCAUGGGAAGCUUUUCAAAGCCCGGAUUCUGAAGGGCUUCCUGUUUUCUCAAUCUAGGAAACCAGAAGAGUCGAUCCUUAAUGGAAACUUUCCACAGCCUCGGCUUUCUAAAAAUAUCUGCACAGCUGCUCAGAGGUGCAUGUAGAAAACCACAUGGAUAUACACGCACUUGGCCGAAUCUCCUCUCGAGACCCAUGCUUGGGGCAGGGAGGCUGGACCAGGAAGCCCAUGACGUGUGCUCUGGGUGAUUCUGUCCCAGACAGAAUCCUGGGACAGCUGAGGGAAGUGUCAGCAUGUCUUAUCAGCAGAGCCCAUCCCUCCAGAAUGUCCAGGCCACUGUGUGUGCGGACGGGCGUGGCAGCUGGCAGUGAAUUUGGGUGCGUUUUCAGAACAGCUUGCAGAACAGCUGCUCAGAGGUGCCUAUAGAAAACCACAUGGACAUACACGGGAACCCUUCAGAAGCCACAGCCCGAUGAGCCAGGGAGAUGUCAGGGGGCACGUAACCAACAACACCGCCGGCUGACUUCUGGUGAGUGUACUUCGUGUGCUGAAUCGAAUCGGCAUGUGCACAGCAUUCAGUCACAGCAACAGCAUCUAAACAGCCGAGGCACAGUAAGAGAGUCUUACAUAACUGGAUACACCAAGCAACAUGUACAAAACCAAAAAGGAGCUGGUCCAGUGCAGGAGCAGAACUCUCAGAGCUAGACAAAACAGCCCUGCCUCCUGCAGGCCACGGAGCUGCGAAUCAGGGCCGACUGAAGAGAGGAAAACGUACACGCUAGCUUCUGCAGCAAAGAACGUCAGAAUUACACGAGGAAUCGAUUCAAACGUAACCCUCCUUCAGGCUUUUCUACGUGCUAAAUCUGACCCGUUUCCUUCUUACAAGUGAUAGAACCUCAGUGCGCAUGCAAAUUCAUAAGACUGCACAUUUUCUUCCUGUUUUUUUUUUUUUUUUGGUUGACAGUGAAAAAAAGUUCCUAUUUUUAUAGCUCCUGCCCAGUCAGCACACGGAGGGCCCUUAAAAGGGGGUGGUGAUGAGUGUACAUGACAAGCAAUAAACUCCCCCUCUACAGCA